rnacentral:misc_RNA from 1 species
CCCAAAUAUGAAGGCCUAUGGGCCAGCCUUUGGUAUGCCCGUCUGGCUCAUAUUCACCCAUGUCUUUUGCGUACUAGCUUGUUUCCUUGGGGGUUCGCCCGCACAUUAGGACCUUACACAUAAACCCUUUUUUUAUGCAGUUGCCAAUCAGCGUCAGCUAUAACAAUGUAAUCAUUUA